rnacentral:rRNA from 1 species
UUUGUCUAUUAAUUGUAGACCUGUAUGAAAGGCAAAAUGAAAGCCCAACUGUCUCUUAUAACAAAUCAAUUAAACUGAUCUCCCAGUACAAAAGCUGGGAUAUCACCAUAAGACCAGAAGACCCUGUGAAGCUUUAACUAACCUAUUAACCCAUAUAAUAGCCAGUUUCGGUUGGGGCGACCUUGGAAUAAAAAAGAACUUCCAAAUAACAUGACUCAUCAUUUACUAAGGCAUACAAGCCAUAAUUAGACCCAGAAUAUCUGAUUAAUGAACCAAGUUACUCCAGGGAUAACAGCGCUAUCUUCUUCAAGAGCCCAUAUCAAAAAGAAGGUUUACGACCUCGAUGUUGGAUCAGGACAUCCUAGUAGUGCAACAGCUACUAAGGGUUCGUUUGUUCAACGAUUAACAGU